UUCUCCUUCCUUCUACUUUCUCUAUGCCUUACAUGGAUACUGAAAAUUAGGGUUCUUCUCGAUCGUCAAGCCCUGAAUCUUACACUGAUUCUUCUAUUAUCCAAUUGGAAGUUAGGAGCUCAGCUGAAAUGGAGAUAGAAGAAAGAGAUACAUUUGCUAAGCCAAAACCUUCAAAACGGUAGAGUUCAAACAGUGAAGUAAAGAGACUAACUAAGGUUAAAAUUGUUGGGAGUUAUGGUUAUAAAUCAUCUUGCGCAAGUGGGAAAGAAGGUAUAAGUUGCAAAAUGUAUACCCAUGACCCUUCAACAAGGUAUUAUUAUCAUCACAAUCAUUUAUUUUUAAUGUUUUUUCUAUUAUUGUUCCUUCCUAUUCCUUUUGUGCGGAUGGGAUAGAGUCGUUGAGAGGUGUGGUUUACCAAAAUUCUCUUUUUCUGCACUGCUGAUUAUGAUGAUAAGGCCUCAUCAGACAAAAGCAACGAUUCUGACCAAGUAUGUGACUUUAAGCUGUGUAUAUCUUCAUAUAUGCAAGUAACUAUGUUGCUCAGACUCUUCAUGUUUUCUUUUUUAUGAUUUGACAUUCGCAUUGCACUUGGUUAAUGAAACAAUAAAUGAGUCAAGCUUGUGAGACUUGUGAAAUGUGUGGUUUUUCUAAUACAGUCAAAGCUGCUGCUUUUUUCAGGGUCUUUUAGCACCGAAGAACCUAAUAUUGAAACAGAAAAGUGGAGAUGGCCAUUAAAUGGAGGAAGAUUCUGCAGCAGACAUGUUUAACACAGCAUCUAGAACUACAGAGGAUGAUUCUGAACUCAGAAAGCAACAGAGGAGGCAAAUAAAUCGCGAAUCAGCUAAAAGGUCAAGGUAUCGCGAGAAAAUAUCCAUGUUGCAAGAACGUGAAAAACUAGAAGCAAAAAUAUAGGCACUGAAAGCUGAUAGCCAUGAACAUUGCAAGCAACUCAGGAAUCUUUCCGAUAAAUGUGUUCGAAUUGGUGACGAGAACCAACAAAUCAAGAUACACAACUUUCUCCUUCUUCUAACGAACCCCAUUUCUUUGUUUCCAUUAAAUGUAUGAUGAAAAAAACAUUUGACAUGGAAGAACCAUGGCCUCAACUUUGUGAAAUGAUGAAGCAUGAUGAACUCAUCCGGAUGUACGGACCAGGUAUUAUCAACGACCUUAAAGAUUCAUCCCC